UCCAAUGUGGCAUAGUGGUUUAAGUACUGGACUAUGACUCUGGAGACCAGGUUCGAUUCCCAGCUUGGCCAUGGAA